ACAUUUUCUACACAGCCUUUUCAAGAUCCCUGCCAAUUCUAAAAUUAAAUGAUUCUAUGAUUAACUGUGUUUCAUUCUUCUGCAUCAGUUCCCAAAACAAAUUAUAUCAAGAGACAGCAAAAAUAUUUGUAAAGAAAGGAUGUCCAACAAUCUGUGUGGUUGUUUUUCUGUGUUCCUCCAAUGGUAGGGCCUCUGUUCACCAGUGCCGUCUCUUCUUUUAGCUGUAAGAAAAGCCUGGAGUGCACGAAGUUGUGCCUACCCCAGAUUGAGAAUGUUAAGGGCACUGAGGACUCAGGUGAGGAGAAGUGACCUGGUGCCCAUGCUCACCUGCCCUCUCCCUCUUCUUGCCCCCACCCGUCCAUCCAUCCCACCCAUCCAUCUAUCCCUGCGGCCCCCCUCUGCCCGCUCCUCUGACCAACACCUGCUUUGUCUGCAGGCACCACAGUGCUGUUGCCCCUGGUCAUUUUCUUUGGUCUUUGCCUUUUAUCCCUCCUCUUCAUUGGUUUAAUGUAUCGCUACCAACGGUGGAAGUCCAAGCUCUACUCCAUUGUUUGUGGGAAAUCGACACCUGAAAAAGA
rnacentral:lncRNA from 10 species